rnacentral:siRNA from 1 species
UAGUGGCCUUUCGAAAA